GUCACAUUCUUUUAAUGUAACUCUGAGGUGUAAAAUGAUAGUAGUUAAAAUCGAGUGUUAAAAAUGAGUGUUUCUAUUUCAAAUCUGGAGGUGUUACAAUGGAAACAUUAACUCUUGACCUCUUAACUCUGAACUCCUACAGGGGCUAUGACACUAAUAGAGUAAAUUCACAGACUCCGCCCCCAGCACCAUAGGCUCCAAUCGAAGCUGAAGUGAAGCCGUUUCAGAACAUUUUGCUCUACAUAUUUGAGUUGUUUGCCAUGCUUGGAUAUGCUUGUGAAGAUGGAAUAUGGGGGAGAGCAGAAGUGCGUUGCAGUUCCACAAAGUGAUGAAUGAAGGACAUGCAUAUUGUAUUUUGUAUUUAUUGAAAUAAGUGAUGAGAAUGCUGUUAUUUGCAUUUACCAGCUCACCUAUGUCACACCUUUUGAUAAACGAAAUUCUAAUGAAAGUGAGAACAUGUACACUGUUACAUCUUUCAGAAAAUGUUUUAAAAUUGUGGUGCACAGUUCAGAAUAAAUGUUUUU